GGGCCAUUGGCUCAGCCAGGUAGAGCGGCGGACUCUUAAUCCGUUGGUCGGGGGUUCAACUCCCUCAUGGCCCG
rnacentral:tRNA from 2 species